rnacentral:rRNA from 1 species
UACGUAGGGGGCAAGCGUUAUCCGGAUUUACUGGGUGUAAAGGGAGCGUAGACGGCUUUGCGAGCCAGAUGUGAAAGCCCGGGGCUCAACCUCGGGACUGCAUUUGGAACUGUAUGGCUGGAGUGUCGGAGAGGCAGGCGGAAUUCCUAGUGUAGCGGUGAAAUGCGUAGAUAUUAGGAGGAACACCAGUGGCGAAGGCGGCCUGCUGGACGAUGACUGACGUUGAGGCUCGAAAGCGUGGGGAGCAAACAGG